AAGGAGCACGCAAGACAAAGAGACAGGAGAAACUGAUGAUUUUAGAUCCAUGGUUACGCUUUUACAAAUAUUUAUUAUACAGAUAGUGGUCAGGGCAGGCAGAAGCUGCAGAAACAAGGCAGUUAACUCUGUUAGGACCAAAAUCUGGGUGGAAAUUAAAACAAGCGGUUGCAGUGAGAGAAACGUGGGUCUCCAGGUUUCUGUAAUGGACAUCGGAAACCUUGCUGUAAACAGGGAAUAAAUCAGAUCACACUCAAGUAAGUAAAACAGACACAGGAACUAAAACACCUGCUCUCUCCUGCUGGGUGUGAGCAGGAGGCUCGUCCUGGGGGACUCGGCCAGAAACCACGCUGUGUCAGACUUGUGAGCUUCAUGUGUUCACUGUGCAGCUGAACCCUCUCUGCGAACUAGGCGAUUUUUCCCCCUCACUUAUGAAAUACCCACUAAGAGAGACUGAAGAGUUGGAAGAAAUAUUCAAAUCAGCUUGCAAGAUCACAGUGGCUUCAAGAAAUAGAAGUAGAGAGGGUGCUAUCUGGAGACCCACUCCAUAGGCCUCAGACACCAGGGACAGCAGUGAUGGCAGAGGGGUUUAAGCUUGGAGAUGUAUGGGUGUGGGCCGCCUGGGUUGCGGGGGUCUGAGCCACCUGGAUGAAAAGCACGGCAGGGCCACGGAUGGCAUGCAGCCGCCAGCAGGAGACAACAGACAAGAGCCCUUGGGACAGUCCAGGUCAGGGCCAACGGCAGGGAUUAGCUGUCCAGAGACCUCUGACAGGCCCAGGCUCCUCCUGGGUUCCCCUGGCCCUGCUUGGCCUUGCUGUGUAGGGAGGGACUUGAGAUUAUUUUUGAAAGGUUUGGCCCAGACAGGACACUGUAGCCAGGAAAGCCACAACCGGAAGCAGGAAGCCCCAUCUUGCCCUGCCCCUAGGAAGUUACCUGUGACGCCAUCUUCCCGCCCCUGGGAAUUUACAUAUGGCGCCAAACCUAGGACCAAUGGGCUACCUGUGUAUCCCUAAUGCCCGCCUUAGGUUCCACCCCAAACCGAGGCUAUUUACAGGCCCCCACGCCGCGUGUCCGCUGGAGAGAUCGCCGGACGCCAGCGGUGGGGGUGCCGGUCAUCUCUCUCCGUGUUCUCAGAAUAAAGGCCGCUUUUUAUUUUAUAUUUCUCAUCUUUUGUUAAUAUUUUUCAUCUUUUGGAAAUAACUCUAUCAUUUGGUGCCGUGACUCGAUCGGCAGGCAACUAACUCUUGGGCCACAUACCCAGAGUUUCCUCGCCGAUAACCAGAUAACAUCCUGGAUUAAUCCCGAGCUUUUUCCUCUCCCGAGACGUUCCUGUCGCCAGCCGCCUGCACUCCGCAUCGGCCAGACUGAUUUCAGGUGAGCACUCCCCGGGGAACUUUUCGCACUGGGCAGCCCCAGUGGAAUGUUCUCCCCGUCUGCGUGGGUCUGUGCAUUUUCACGUCCUUAGGACCGCCCAGGGCAGGGUUCUUUCUGGGCAAACCUGCGCCCACAAAAUCUCUCACGUUCUUUGGGUUCGGAUAGCCCAAAGCAGAGAUUUUUGGGACCGCCCACACUGAAAGAAUGCCUCACUUCCCUUAAAGCCUUGCGCUUUCACGGGCAAAACUGUUACUGAUCCCACGUAGACUCCAUUCGUAAAUCUCUCAGUGACGACUGGAGUUUAUGGUUUGGAACCGUAGCCGCCGCGUGGUACCACAAAUAAGUGACGACUUUUUCUGGACCUCCGGCUUUUUUCUUGUCUGAAUUAGUCAUGGGGAACGUAUUUUCUAACUCCCAAAAGACGCCUUUAAAAUGCCUAAUUUCCAAUUUACGUACUCUAAAAAUUAAAGGUACCAUAAAAACUAAACAAUUAACUUUUUACUGCCAGGAGGUCUGGCCAACCUACCCGCUUAUCGGCAAGCCUUAGCCUCAGCAAGGAACAUUUGACCCCUGCAUUCUCAGGAACUUGUACGAUUUUUGUCAAGCUGGCAACAAGUUAUUAGAACUCCCUUAUGUCCAAGCCUUUCUUAUUCUGAGAACACGCCCAUCUCUCAUUAAGUCCUGUGCUCCAGCUGAGAUACUUUUAGCUAAGUCUACUGCGCCACAAACUUUUCCGUCCUGCUCUCCCUUGUUUUCCCAGCUGCCGCCUGCCUACCACCAAACUCAUUCCCUGCGGUUAUCUCCCGCCGGACCACUCUCCCCUCCCCCUAUGCCUGAUUCUCUCAGCAGUUCUAAUCCCUCUCCGUGGCAGAUACCUCCUGCUGUGCGAUCGUCUCCCUCUCCGCCUUCCAGGACCCAUAAUUCUCCCAGCAGCUCUAAUCCCUCUGUGUCGCAGUUAUCUCCCGAUGUUCCAUCCUCUCCCCCUCCAUCUCCAGGGACCCAUAUCUCUCCCAGCGGCUCUGAUCCCUCUGUUAGUGCUUCCUCACAGUCUCCGACUUCUCCUGAGAAUUCUCUAUCCCCUACAGCAUUCUCACCGCCUGCCCACCAUACUAGGUUUCAGUCGCUAUGUCCUUCCAGCAGGUCGCUUGAUUGUUCCAGCUUGUGCAGGGAACAGUCGCCAUGUUGCAACCCUCUGCCACAUGGCAUGGCGCCGCCAUGUUCAGGAGGGCCACAUGGCGACAGGGCGCCACCAUGUUUCGGGCCACGUGACAGGGCGCCGCCAUGUUCCCAGGCGCCGCCAUGUUUUGGGUCACGUGACAGGGCGCCGCCAUGUUUCCAGGGCCUUCACUGUCAACAGGCGUCUCCUUGUGGCUCCUCUUGUGAACUACAACAGCCGUCCUGUUGCAGUGCACAUGACGCUUCAUUGUGCUGCCGAAAGCAGUCCUCUAGCUGCAAGGCACACAGUGAGACGCCAUCUGCUCGUGUUUCCCAGGGUGACCGGCAGCAGCUCUGUAGCCGCUCUACAGAUGAUUGCUCACAUGCGCCUACCGGAAGGAUGGCUGCUCAGUGGCCCUCUGCUCCGGAAUCUCCUUUGGCUCUGCUACCGCUUCGGGAGCCAGCUGGCCCCAAGGGACCUGUUAACAUCCAUGUGCCUUUUUCCCUUUCUGAUCUAUCCCAGAUUACCCUUAAAUUAGGUAGCCUCUCUGUUGACCCACAGAAUUAUAUCAGGCAAUUUAAAUUUAUUACUAAUUGUUAUGAUUUACAUUUUAAGGACGUUUAUAAUGACUCUGGGCCUAUAGCUGUGCCAGAGCAGGUCAAGCAUACUAACUAUAACAAACUUUUAAAACAGGUCCAGGAAGCUAAUCAAAACCCAGCUGUGUUCCUAAAUUGGCUUUCUAAUCCUCGAGCCCUGCAAGCAGUUCCAGCUUUGCGCACUGUGUCGGGCCGCCUCCCAGCCCCUCCCCCAUGCACCGUCCCAGCCCCUCCCUCCCCUGUGCGCCGUCGUCACCGCCGCCGAUGCCAUCUUACCCGUUUCCGGGGGCAGUCUGAGCCCGCCCCUGCGCGCUACAUCCCAGCGCUUGCCCCACCCACAGGGCGCGCUCUGCCGGAGCAUCGCGAAACAGCAGCUCAGCGGCUCUGCUCAGGCAUGCUUUUUUUUACAAUUUGGCUCCGCUCAAAAGAUGCUUUUUUAUUACAAUUCUCAAACCAUUUAAUCAAGGUUAUUGGCCACCUGAUAAUUUUACCAGCUUUGUUUAUCAAUCAAAGCCUUCAUCAAUCUUCUGUUUAACAACUAAGGUUAUAAAUUCCUUUUUGCUGGGAACCACUAGCUCUAUUUCAAGACAAGGGUUUUCUUCAAAGUUUUAUUUUAUUUGUCUUGGUUCAUUCUACUGCAAAUAACAACUUUAAAAGUAAAUGUAUUCAGAAUUUGAUAGUAUUAGAUCAGUUUUGAUAGAUUUAUUCAUAAGAUUGCUAAACCUUUACUGCAAAAUGUUUCCAUUAAAGCCUGCUCUCUGAUCCAAAAUGCCAAUAUUAAAUUCCUGCAUACUUACUUAAUUCUACUGUAGUCCAAAUCCCAAACAAAAAGGCAAAACUUGACCUUCAAACCUUAUAGAGAUCUUAAUAUGGUUUUUUAUAUUUUUAACACUUGUGACACUUGGAGUUCUGAGACAGGUAAACCUACACAAGGUGGAGCUGCCUGCCCCCUCCAUGGACCACGCUCAAAUGCAGCAGAAGGUACUGGGCAAGAAAAUGCCCCAUCCUGGCAUUCUUUGAGACCUUACUCCAGGGCUACUGGACUGUCCUAGCCACCAGAGAGUGGGUAAGUCAUCCUAGCCCUCACAGGAAAUGUCGACACUGCCAAAUUCGUCACCGACAGAAAAUCGCUGCUGAAGACUGAGGAAGUUCAGGGCAACAACAGCCCCCUUUAAGGUGUCCGUCUCAGAUUCCAAGUCGCACAAAACUCUCAGUCUGACAUACGUGCAUUCACCAGUGAAGCUGUCCUGGCCAAAACACCUGGUACCAGCGUCUACCUGGGCAUCAACCUUCAUCCCGUCGACUCCCCUAGGCUCCAGUACAGCGCCCUUUGCCAGCAGGAAGUAGUUAAAGAGAGAAAUCUUCGCCCCUUUUCAUAAUAAUAACCAUAAGAUGGGAUAUGAAAGGUUUGGCCCAGACAGGACACUGUAGCCAGGAAAGCCACAACCGGAAGCAGGAAGCCCCAUCUUGCCCUGCCCCUAGGAAGUUACCUGUGACGCCAUCUUCCCGCCCCUGGGAAUUUACAUAUGGCGCCAAACCUAGGACCAAUGGGCUACCUGUGUAUCCCUAAUACCCGCCUUAGGUUCCACCCCAAACCAAGGCUAUUUACAGGCCCCCACGCCACGUGUCCGCUGGAGAGAUCGCCGGACGCCAGCGGUGGGGGUGCCGUUCAUCUCUCUCCGUGUUCUCAGAAUAAAGGCCGCUUUUUAUUUUA